AUACUGCACUUGGAUAUAAUAUGAGAGAUGGUUUUGUGCCAGAGAUGUCUUGAACAAACAGAAAGAAGACCAGAGAGAUUAAAAAAUGGAAACAACUUGCUAGUUCAGGUUUAUGUGCAUGUGCUUGUGUGUUGUAUUUUGGAGAAAAGAGAGAGGAUGAAGGAAGAUCCCUUGCUUCCUUCUUCAUAGAUUCAUGCAAACUGCAAAGCAUAUUUUCCCUUUGCUUGCUCACAUGUCUCUCCGCAUGAGCAAAAUUUGAGAUAACCGAUAUCACAGCCUAUGCUGCUAUUUUUCAUUGCAACCAAACACUUAUAUAUGUGAAGCCAGGAAAUUCGGACAAAGAAUCCGCAACAGUGGUUUUAGACAGCAAUGAUACUUUUAUCAAGCAAAAGAGAUUGAUGACCACUUUGCUAAAGUGAGAUUUUUGGGUCCAUAACCAAAUAAGCAGGAAGGAUCAAGAUCACACUAAAGAAAGAAAGCCACCACCUCAACAAGCAGAAUCUUUAGAUAACAAGGGGCAACACUGGUUCCCAAGGCAGUGUGGGGAAAAUGAGUCAUUAUUCUGAUGCACAAGAUAUCGAGUUUUCAACUGCAGUUGCAGCAGCUGCAUUUGCUAUUCACUCCAAUGAAGAAGCUAGAUUACAGUAUCAAAAAGGGAUGAAGGAAAGCCUUCAGA